ACCUGGGUGGCUCAGUCGGUUGAGUGUCUGACUUCAGCUCAGGUCACGAUCUCAGUUUGUGAGUUCGAGCCCCGCAUCAGGCU
rnacentral:tRNA from 1 species